AGGGUCGAAGGUUCGAGCCCUUCAUGGCUCACCAUUUUAUGCGGGUGUGGUGGAAUUGGCAGACACGCUAGAUUUAG
rnacentral:tRNA from 1 species